rnacentral:tRNA from 1 species
GGAUUGUGGCUCAUUGGUAGAGCACUCGCCUAGCACAUGUGAGGCCCUGGGUUCCAUCCUCAGCACCA